rnacentral:lncRNA from 13 species
AUGAAUAGGAAUAUUUUCUUGGAAUAUUUCUGUAUAUAUUUAUCUGACCCUGUAUAUAGUAUGGUAUUGACUGACCCUGUAUAUAGUAUGGUAUUAACUGACCCUGUAUAUAGUAUGGUAUUAACUGACCCUGUAUAUAGUAUGGUAUUAACUGACCCUGUAUAUAGUAUGGUAUUAACUGACCCUGUAUAUAGUAUGGUACUGACCCUGUAUAUAGUAUGGUACUAACUGACCCUGUAUAUAGUAUGGUANNNNNNNNNNCCCAGACGUGCUCAAUGGGAUUGAGAUCCGGGCUCUUCGCUGGCCAUGGCAGAACACUGACAUUCCUGUCUUGCAGGAAAUCACACACAGAAUGAGCAGUAUGGCUGGUGGCAUUGUCAUGCUGGAGGGUCAUGCAGGAAGGGUACCACAUGAGGGAGAAGGAUCUCUUUCCUGUAACGCACAGUGUGGAGAUUGCCAGCAAUGACAACAAGCUCAGUCCGAUGAUGCUGUGACACACCGCCCCAGAUCAUGACGGACCCUCCACCUCGAUCCCGCUGCAGAGUACAGGCCUUGGUGUAACGCUCAUUCCGUCGACGAAAAACGUGAAUCCGACCAUCACCCCUGGUGAGACAAAACCGCGAUCCGUCAGUGAAGAGCACUUUUUGCCAGUCCUGUCUGGUCC